rnacentral:rRNA from 1 species
GACGAACGCUGGCGGCGUGCUUAACACAUGCAAGUGGAGCGACGAACCAGGCUUCGGCCUGGGGCAAAGCCGCGAACGGGUGAGUAACACGUGGGUAACCUGCCCCGAUGACCGGGACAACCCGAGGAAACUCGGGCUAAUACCGGAUGUGCUGUCCUCGCAUCAGUGAGGAUUGGAAAGGGAGCUUCGGCCUCCGCAUCGGGAUGGGCCCGCGGCCCAUUAGCUUGUUGGUGAGGUAACGGCUCACCAAGGCUGCGAUGGGUAGCUGGUCUGAGAGGACGAUCAGCCACACUGGGACUGAGACACGGCCCAGACUCCUACGGGAGGCAGCAGUGGGGAAUCUUGCGCAAUGCGCGAAAGCGUGACGCAGCAACGCCGCGUGGGGGAAGAAGGCCUUCGGGUCGUAAACCCCUUUCAGGAGGGACGAAGCCAGGGCGGUGAAUAGCCGACCCUGGUGACGGUACCUCCAGAAGAAGCCCCGGCUAACUACGUGCCAGCCGCCGCCGUAACAC